rnacentral:lncRNA from 1 species
GCUUCUUCCAGGUCUCCCACAUGGGUGCAGGGUCCCAAGGACUUGGGUCACCUUCUACUGCUUUCCCAGGCCACAGCAGAGAGCUGGAUGGGAAGCGGAGCAGCCGGGACUCAAAUCAGCACCCACGUGCAAUGCUGGCGUCGCAGGCAACUGCUUAACCGGCUGUGCCGCAGCGCCGGCCCUCUGCUUACUUCCUUAAAAAGUGGCCUUUCUCUUUCACUCUGAGUUUAACUUUCCUGCCUCGGCCUCCAGUAAUCCUCACUAAAUAGGUGAAGCAGGCAAUUGGAGGAGAUGGAUGGAGCCGAGCUCGCUUACCGACCGCACAGAGACCACGGCGCUGGCACCGACGGCGCAGCCACCUGGUGCCACAGCCUGGCCGCCGCUCUCCUCCACCUGGUGCCACAGCCUGGCCGUCGCUCUCAGCCUCCGGGCGCCUGGAUGAGCACGCGGCAGCCGGAGGCUGAAGAGCGGGCCGGGGCUCACGGCUCCUCGGUGACCAGGCCGGCGACACCUCGCCCCGCUCCCUCAGAGCUCCCGUGGUGACCAGGCCGGCGACACCUCGCCCCGCUCCCUCAGAGCUCCCGUGGUGACCAGGCCGGCGACACCUCGCCCCGCUCCCUCAGAGCUCCCGUGGUGACCAGGCCGGCGACACCUCGCCCCGCUCCCUCAGAGCUCCCGUGGUGACCAGGCCGGCGACACCUCGCCCCGCUCCCUCAGAGCUCCCGUGGUGACCAGGCCGGCGACACCUCGCCCCGCUCCCUCAGAGCUCCCGUGGUGACCAGGCCGGCGACACCUCGCCCCGCUCCCUCAGAGCUCCCGUGGUGACCAGGCCGGCGACACCUCGCCCCGCUCCCUCAGAGCUCCCGUGGUGACCAGGCCGGCGACACCUCGCCCCGCUCCCUCAGAGCUCCCGUGGUUGCCCGACCUGAGCAAAUGCAAACGCAAGCCCCCAGCUGACUUUGAGUUUAGGUGAAUAAUGGUUUUACUAUUUUUUUUUAGUUUCAGAUCCGAUAUCCUUACACUAAAAGUAGUCAUUGUUGUUCAGAAAUUGGUCACCUCGUGCUUCAUCUGGCAGUUCCACACUAAGGGACCCUACGGGCCACACGAGAAAGGUCUCCACCCAUUGAAGCCUCCCCCAAAACCACCCACAUCGUCCCUCUUUCUCCAACCCUUAGCACCACCUGGAAUAGUGUGCACGUCCGUGUUUGCCCAGUUAUUGUUCUCUCUGCCACCAUCAGAACAUGGGCAUGGACGGUCACCCCCCCCCCGUCACCCACCGAGUGACAGUGGCAUGGCCCUGAGCUCCCCAGUCCUUGGAUGGGACACCACACAGCCCUGGGCCCCGGGACAUCAGGUGACAAAGCAGGCUGACUUGAACCGGGGGGGGGGGGGGCAGACAACGGUGCCCAGGCACCCCAGCCCCUGAGAA